rnacentral:rRNA from 1 species
GACGAACGCUGGCGGCGUGCUUAACACAUGCAAGUCGAACGGAAAGGCCCUGCUUUUGUGGGGUGCUCGAGUGGCGAACGGGUGAGUAACACGUGAGUAACCUGCCCUUGACUUUGGGAUAACUUCAGGAAACUGGGGCUAAUACCGGAUAGGAGCUCCUGCUGCAUGGUGGGGGUUGGAAAGUUUCGGCGGUUGGGGAUGGACUCGCGGCUUAUCAGCUUGUUGGUGGGGUAGUGGCUUACCAAGGCUUUGACGGGUAGCCGGCCUGAGAGGGUGGCCGGCCACAUUGGGACUGAGGGACGGCCCAGACUCCAACGGUAGGCAGCAGGGGGGAAUAUUGCCCAAUGGGCGGAAGCCUGUGGCAGCAACGCCGCGUUCGUGAUGACGGCCUUCGGGUUGUAAACCGCUUUCGCCUGUGACGAAGCGUGAGUGACGGUAAUGGGUAAAGAAGCACCGGCUAACUACGUG